AUGUUCUCUACUGUACUAUACUGUUCCCUACUGCAUUAUUCUGUUCUCUAUUGUACUAUACUGUUCUCUACUGUACUACACUGUUCUCUACUCCACUGUACUAUAGUGUUCUCUACUGUACUACACUGUUCUCUACUCUACUAUACUGUUCUCUACUGUUCUUUACUGUACUAUACUGUUCUCUAUUGUACUAUACUGUUCUGUUCUCUACUGUACUAUACUAUUUUCUACUGUACUAUAUUGUUCUCUACUCUACUAUACUGUUCUCUACUGUACUAUACUGUUCUCUAUUGUACUAUACUGUUUUGUACUGUACUAUACUGUUCUCUACUGUCCCCCACUGUACUAUACUGUUCUCUACUGUGCUCUACUGUUCCCUACUGUACUAUACCGUUCCCUACUGUACUAUACCGUUCUCUACUGUACUGUACUAUACUGUUUUCUACUGUGCUAUACUGUUCCCUACUGCAUUAUACUGUUCUCCACUGUACUAUACUGUUCUCUACUCCACUGUACUAUACUGUUCUCUGCUGUACUGUACUAAACUGUUCUCUACUGUACUAUACUGUUCUCUACUCCACUGUACUAUACUGUUUUCUACUGUACUGUACUAUACUGUUCUCUACUGUACUAUGCUGUUCUCUACUGUACUAUACUGUUCUCUACUAUACUAUACUGUUCCCUACUGUACUAUGCUGUUCUCUACUGUACUAUACUGUUCUCUACUAUACUAUACUGUUCCCUACUGUACUAUACUGUUCUCUACUGUACUAUACAGUUCUCUACUGUACUAUACAGUUCUCUACUGUACUGUACUGUUCCCUACUGUACUAUACUGUUCCCUACUGUACUCUACUGUACUAUACAGUUCUCUACUGUACUGUACUGUUCUCCACUGUACUAUACUGUUCUCUACUGUUCCCUACUGUUCUCUUCUGUACUCUACUGUGCUAUACUGUUCUCUGCUGUGCUCUACUGUUCCCUACUGUACUGUACUGUUCCCUACUGUACUAUACUGUUCCCUACUGUACUAUACUGUUCUCUACUGUACUACACUGUUCUCUACUCCACUGUACUAUAGUGUUCUCUACUGUACUACACUGUUCUCUACUCUACUAUACUGUUCUCUACUGUUCUUUACUGUACUAUACUGUUCUCUAUUGUACUAUACUGUUCUGUUCUCUACUGUACUAUACUAUUUUCUACUGUACUAUAUUGUUCUCUACUCUACUAUACUGUUCUCUACUGUACUAUACUGUUCUCUAUUGUACUAUAUUGUUUUGUUCUCUACUGUACUAUACUGUUCUCUACUGUACUAUAUUGUACUACACUGUUCCCUACUGUACUGUACUGUUCUCUACUGUACUGUACUAUACUGUUCUCUACUGUCCCCCACUGUACUAUACUGUGCUCUACUGUUCCCUACUGUACUAUACCGUUCCCUACUGUACUAUACCGUUCUCUACUGUACUGUACUAUACUGUUUUCUACUGUGCUAUACUGUUCCCUACUGCAUUAUACUGUUCUCCACUGUACUAUACUGUUCUCUACUCCACUGUACUAUACUGUUCUCUGCUGUACUGUACUAAACUGUUCUCUACUGUACUAUACUGUUCUCUACUCCACUGUACUAUACUGUUUUCUACUGUACUGUACUAUACUGUUCUCUACUGUACUAUGCUGUUCUCUACUGUACUAUACUGUUCUCUACUAUACUAUACUGUUCCCUACUGUACUAUACUGUUCUCUACUGUACUAUACAGUUCUCUACUGUACUGUACUGUUCCCUACUGUACUAUACUGUUCCCUACUGUACUAUACUGUUCUCUACUGUACUAUACAGUUCUCUACUGUACUGUACUGUUCCCUACUGUACUAUACUGUUCCCUACUGUACUAUACUGUUCUCUACUGUACUAUACAGUUCUCUACUGUACUGUACUGUUCUCCACUGUACUAUACUGUUCUCUACUGUUCCCUACUGUUCUCUUCUGUACUCUACUGUGCUAUACUGUUCUCUGCUGUGCUCUACUGUUCCCUACUGUACUAUACUGUUCCCUACUGUACUAUACCGUUCUCUACUGUACUGUACUAUACUUUUCUCUACUGUACUAUACUGUUCUCUACUGUACAAUACUGUUCUGUUCUCUACUGUGAUAAACUGUUCUCUACUCCACUGUACUAUACUGUUCUCUACUCCAAGGUACUAUACUGUUCUCUACUGUGCUAUACUGGUCUCUGCUGUGCUCUACUGUUCCCUACUGUACUAUACUGUUCCCUACUGUACUAUACUGUUCCCUACUGUACUAUACCGUUCUCUACUGUACUGUACUGUUCUCUAUUGUACUAUACUGUUCUCUACUGUACUAUACUGUUCUCUACUCCACUGUACUAUACUGUUUUCUACUGUACUAUACUAUUUUCUACUGUACUCUACUAA
ensembl:lncRNA